AACGAACGCUGGCGGCAGGCCUAACACAUGCAAGUCGAGCGAGCAUUUCGGUGCUAGCGGCGGACGGGUGAGUAACGCGUGGGAACGUGCCCUUUUCUGCGGAAUAGUCCUGGGAAACUGGGGGUAAUACCGCAUACGCCCUUUUGGGGAAAGAUUUAUCGGAGAAGGAUCGGCCCGCGUUGGAUUAGGUAGUUGGUGGGGUAAAGGCCCACCAAGCCGACGAUCCAUAGCUGGUUUGAGAGGAUGAUCAGCCACACUGGGACUGAGACACGGCCCAGACUCCUACGGGAGGCAGCAGUGGGGAAUCUUAGACAAUGGGGGCAACCCUGAUCUAGCCAUGCCGCGUGAGUGAUGAAGGCCUUAGGGUUGUAAAGCUCUUUCAGCUGGGAAGAUAAUGACGGUACCAGCAGAAGAAGCCCCGGCUAACUCCGUG
rnacentral:rRNA from 1 species